rnacentral:rRNA from 1 species
UACAGAGGGGGCAAGCGUUGUUCGGAAUUACUGGGCGUAAAGGGCGCGUAGGCGGCCCUCUAAGUCAGACGUGAAAUCCCUCGGCUCAACCGGGGAACUGCGUCUGAGACUGGGGGGCUUGAAUCCGGGAGAGGGAUGUGGAAUUCCAGGUGUAGCGGUGAAAUGCGUAGAUAUCUGGAGGAACACCGAUGGCGAAGGCAGCCUUCUGGGCCAACACUGACGCUCAUGCACGAAAGCGUGGGGAGCAAACAGG